rnacentral:rRNA from 1 species
GAUGAACGCUGGCGGCGUGCCUAAUACAUGCAAGUCGAGCGAACGGACGAGAAGCUUGCUUCUCUGAUGUUAGCGGCGGACGGGUGAGUAACACGUGGAUAACCUACCUAUAAGACUGGGAUAACUUCGGGAAACCGGAGCUAAUGCCGGAUAAUAUUUUGAACCGCAUGGUUCAAAAGUGAAAGACGGUCUUGCUGUCACUUAUAGAUGGAUCCGCGCUGCAUUAGCUAGUUGGUAAGGUAACGGCUUACCAAGGCAACGAUGCAUAGCCGACCUGAGAGGGUGAUCGGCCACACUGGAACUGAGACACGGUCCAGACUCCUACGGGAGGCAGCAGUAGGGAAUCCUCCGCAAUGGGCGAAAGCCUGACGGAGCAACGCCGCGUGAGUGAUGAAGGUCUUCGGAUCGUAAAACUCUGUUAUUAGGGAAGAACAUAUGUGUAAGUAACUGUGCACAUCUUGACGGUACCUAAUCAGAAAGCCACGGCUAACUACGUG